AGAGGAGGAGGAAGCAGACACCCCGCUGCGCAGAGAGCCCAAUGCAGGGCUUGAUCCCAGAACCCCAGAAUCAUGACCUGAGCCGAAGGCAGAGGCCUCAACCCACUGAGCCACCCAGACAGGUGCCCCUUGAGUUGAUUUUUAUGUGUGAUGUAAGUAGGCUCCAUGCCCAGCAUGAAGCCCAACGCAGGGCUUGAACUCAUGACCCUGAGAUCAAGACCUGAGCGGAGGUCAAGAAUCAGACACUUAGCCGACUGAGCCACCCAGGCGUCCCUGUCUUUAAUUCUUGAACCUUUACAAGAAGCAACUAGGAGUUAACUGCAAUCAGUCUACAUGACUGGGACAUUUCAAGUAAGAAAUAAUGAACAUUUAUGGGGGAAAUUUGGACAAGGAAGAGAGAGACGCAUGGGGAAAACACCAAGCGAAGACUGAGGGCCACAAUGAUGCAUCUACAAGCCGGGGAACGCCAAAGAUUUCCAAAGAACACAAGAAGCUAGAAGAGGCAAGAAAGGACUCUCGCCUUGAGUCUUCAGAGAGAAUAUGACCCUGCCAACACUUUUCUUUAGGACUUCCAGCCCCCAGAACUGCGAGAAAAUGACUAUCUGUUGUUUUAAGCCAUGCAGUGAUUGAUACUUUGUCUCGGCAGCAUUAGGAAAUGCAUACAGGUAAAUACCUAGGAGUAGAAUGAGUAGAUCAUAUGGUAACUGAUGUUUAAUCUAUCAAGAAGCUGCCCGAUUGUUUUCCACAGCAGCUACCCCAAGUGAUUGUUUUUUAAAUAAAUUAUUAGUGGUUUCAAAACCUCCCUCAAAUGCAGAAAGUAAGCUUUCUGUGGAUAACUUUUCCCUCCACAGGUGGUUUGGCCUCCGCCCCCAUCAUGGGAAUAGUCUUCCUCACUACCAUCUGUAAAACUCCCUAUUUUCUUUAAGAAAAGAACAGUAACAAAUCGUGAUGUCACAGUGCACUAAUAGAAUGGGGGUAUCUAAGAUGAGCUAUGGCAGUGGAUGCAGAAUAAUCUUAAAGACAUCGAAGCCUGAAGGCAGUUGAAGAAUAAAUGGUGCUAAACAGUAAGACGUCGCUUUUAAAGGGAGGAUUUCCUAGCUGAGACAGGAACAAAGAACAAAAAGAGGAUCCCAAAGGAGAUGAUGGUGUUUUCUUUAGGGGCGGGGGCUUGGCCACGAAGAGCUCUAAGGUCCACCUUUGGAAAAAAGGAACUGGUGUUGUGGGACGGAAUACAUCUUUCGGCAGAAACUCUGAAACUCUCAAUUUCAGUUUGUCGCUAUCCUAAGAGAAGGCUCAACUCUUCUUCAAACAAUAAAGUACUAUAGUCCAAUAA